rnacentral:misc_RNA from 1 species
UUUUACAGUUAUUUCUAAUAAGGUUAGUAAGUGGAAAGACAUUAUAUAUAAAUAUGUAAUAAGACUUUUGUAAGGCAAUUUUAGUACAGGAACCAUUGCAAGAGAUACAAGAUGAAGUAGCCGCACAAAUUAUUUUGAGAGUUGAUUAAAAACUCUCACUAAACAAGCAGUUUGUAUGGUUACCCCGCUAAUUACAUAUAACCAAAUUUUUUUUUUUUGUUUUUAGCAAAUAAUAAAGGUUCUAAGAACUCAGAUAUUUGAUCUCUGAUCUCUCUUUCAACUUUCAUGGUGACAUUGGGUAGAGAUGAGGAGCCAAGCGAGGCUUAGCGAAUGCAGAAAUGGGUGUAGCAGGAGUAAGUUCAUCUAGAGUCUCGGCGAGAUCAAUCCUGGAAACACUGGCUGGUGGAGUCCAAGUGAAGCACUGAAGCAUCCUCGCCAGCAACAUCGUAGUCAUGCAACUUCCAAGCAAUGAAGCUACGCAGCCACGUCUUCCAGUGCUGAAAGUUACGAAC